AACUGUCUCUCGCUGUGAGUUACAAAAGACUGAAUGCAAGACCUGGCCCUAGUUGGAGGAUGAGGAUUUCCACCAACCUUCCCAAACUUUAAAUGAUUGGCAUCUGCCAAGUCACAGAAACACACAAAGAGGCUCUUUAACCGGAGUUUGGCUUGGCUCUUCUAAGCAGGGCUGGGAGGCUGGGAGUGGUUUGGUGGUGCGCGGCUACUCCGGAGUGUGCGGUAACCGAGGGCCGAGUCCGCGUAAAGCCGAGAGCUGUAAUGAUGUCAACUUGUUAUUUACUUUCCAAAUCUGAAUGACUGAGCAAGGCGAAAGGAGAAUCAAUCAACCACAAUGUGACCCUACAGGCGGAAAAAACGCAGCGCUCCCACCAGCAGGCGGUGGGGGGAAGGGAAGCACGUGUAACCGGGACAGGGUUGCAUCAUGAGCUCGCUCGGGUUUGUCUCUUGCACCCUCCGUUUUUCGAUUGCAUGUAAUACCUCAGCCUCAGUCUGCACAAGCCCAGGGAGCCCGGGAGCAACGAAGGGCAGGCUCCAGGGAAGGCCCCACCAAGUCCUUUUGGGGGGUCUUCAAUGGCAACUGAUACAUAAUAAGACACAAUCUAUUCUGCUGAUUCACAAUUAUGGAGACUGUGUAAUACAAGAUAGAAGAGAGGUCUCCACAUAAGCCCUGGAAAGAAGAAAGGAUUGGCCUGCGUUUACUUCUGAGUAAGUAGAAUUGUGAAAGAUUUUAUUAGGAACAACCUGCCAACC
rnacentral:lncRNA from 1 species